GACCCAAUGGCACAAUGGUUCGUGCGCUUGCUUUAGUUGAGGAUAUUUUGAGGGAUUCAGGCAAGAGGUCCUCGUUCGAUUCGGGGUUGGGUCA